AGAGUUUGAUCAUGGCUCAGAACGAACGCUGGCGGCGUGGAUAAGACAUGCAAGUCGAGCGCUGAUUCCGGGGUAGCAAUAUUCCGGAGUCGGAGCGGCGCAAGGGUGCGUAACACGUGGGUAAUCUGCCAGGAAGUUGGGGAUAACUUGCUGAAAGGCGAGCUAAUACCGAAUGUGACCAUCGGGAGGCCUCUCCUGAUGGUUAAAGUUGGGGACCGCAAGGCCUGACGCUUCCUGAUGAACCCGCGGCCUAUCAGCUAGUUGGUGAGGUAACGGCCCACCAAGGCUAAGACGGGUAGCUGGUCUGAGAGGACGACCAGCCACACUGGAACUGAGACACGGUCCAGACACCUACGGGUGGCAGCAGUCGAGAAUUUUUCACAAUGGGCGCAAGCCUGAUGGAGCGACGCCGCGUGGGGGAUGAAUGGCUUCGGCCCGUAAACCCCUGUCAUUUGCGAUCAAACCUCGUUAUUUAAAAGAUGACGAGCUGAUAGUAGCGAAAGAGGAAGGGACGGCUAACUCUGUGCCAGCAGCCGCGGUA
rnacentral:rRNA from 1 species